AUUGAACGCUGGCGGCAGGCCUAACACAUGCAAGUCGGGCGAGCGGCGGACGGGUGAGUAAUGUAUGGGGAUCUGCCUGACGGAGGGGGCUAACUACUGGAAACGGUAGCUAAUACCGCAUACCACCAGAUGAACCAACAUGGGAUUAGCUUGUAGGUGAGGUAAAGGCUCACCACGCAGACAAUAUCUAGCUGGGCUGAGAGGAUGACCAGCCACACUGGUACUGAUACACGGCCCAGACUCCUCCGGGAGGCAGCAGUGGGGAAUAUUGCGCAAUUGGGGCAACCCUGACGCAGCCAUGCCGCGUGAAUGAAGAAGGCCUUCGGGUUGUAAAGUUCUUUCGGUAGCGAGGCGUUAACGACAGAAAAAGCAGCGGCUAACUCCGUGCCAGCAGCCGCGGUAAUUC
rnacentral:rRNA from 1 species